AGUGAACGCUGGCGGUAGGCCUAACACAUGCAAGUCGAACGGCAGCACAGUAAGAGCUUGCUCUUACGGGUGGCGAGUGGCGGACGGGUGAGGAAUACAUCGGAAUCUACUUUUUCGUGGGGGAUAACGUAGGGAAACUUACGCUAAUACCGCAUACGACCUACGGGUGAAAGCAGGGGAUCUUCGGACCUUGCGCGAUUGAAUGAGCCGAUGUCGGAUUAGCUAGUUGGCGGGGUAAAGGCCCACCAAGGCGACGAUCCGUAGCUGGUCUGAGAGGAUGAUCAGCCACACUGGAACUGAGACACGGUCCAGACUCCUACGGGAGGCAGCAGUGGGGAAUAUUGGGCAAUGGGCGCAAGCCUGAUCCAGCCAUACCGCGUGGGUGAAGAAGGCCUUCGGGUUGUAAAGCCCUUUUGUUGGGAAAGAAAAGCAGCAGGUUAAUACCCCGCUGUUCUGACGGUACCCAAAGAAUGAGCACCGGCUAACUUCGUG
rnacentral:rRNA from 1 species